rnacentral:rRNA from 1 species
GUAGGUGGCAAGCGUUGUCCGGAAUUAUUGGGCGUAAAGCGCGCGCAGGCGGUUCUUUAAGUCUGAUGUGAAAGCCCACGGCUCAACCGUGGAGGGUCAUUGGAAACUGGAGAACUUGAGUACAGAAGAGGAAAGCGGAAUUCCACGUGUAGCGGUGAAAUGCGUAGAGAUGUGGAGGAACACCAGUGGCGAAGGCGGCUUUCUGGUCUGUAACUGACGCUGAGACGCGAAAGCGUGGGGAGCAAACAGGGAUUAGAUACCCUGGUAGUCCACGCCGUAAACGAUGAGUGCUAAGUGUUAGGGGGUUUCCCGCCCCUUAGUGCUGCAGCUAACGCAUUAAGCACUCCGCCUGGGGAGUACGGCCGCAAGGCUG